ACUCCCAGAUGGGACCGUCUAGUUGCAGGAAAACAAGCUCAGGGCUCCCACUGAUUCUACAUUAUGAUCAACUGCAUGGGGUCCUACAGGAGAAGACCAAGAGACAGAGACAGAGACCAGGGAAAAUGACCGAUACCAUUCCUUCUCAGGGAUGCUACACACCCAUGGGGCAGAGGAUAAGAGGUUCCUGAAGGCAUCACCCCUCUGGCCAUGGCUGGUGUGCAGACAAAGCUGGAGAUUUGGAGUAGCCUGUUGUCCCACUGACUCUUAGACUGCCCCAGCUAAGAAGAACCAACUCCUCCUAUUACAGAUGAAAUAAACAAAGCUACUCAAGCUCUCUGGCAUCGCCCUGACGGUCAUCAUGUGCUUCACAUUUCCCUCCUGCCCCCCCUGAUUUUCUGGAAAAGGGAGAAACACACCAAAGAGAGUUCUAGAAAAAAUGAGAAUAAGAAAUUUACCUGUAAUCCUUGCUCAAGAAACUGAAGCUCUGAGGCCACAUUGUUCCAGCCUUUUGCAGCUCCUGCAUGUGGAUACCAGCACCAGCAGCUCCCCGACCAGGGGCCCCAGCUAAGCCCUCCCAGAGGAUGAUCUUGGCUUUGUACAUGGGGUGUCAAUAUCCUGUGAGUCCAACAGAGGGAAGACAUAAGAAUAUGGUCACCCAGGUUUUGUACAGAGGAAAUCCAGGCUCCUAACGAUGGCGAAAGAUGGGAAUAAAAGGAUCAGAACACUGAGCUGGAUCUUCAGUUCAUUUCAGGUAUGGAGAAGGGUAAAUGGUCUUUAAAGAAGGCCGACCUCAAUGAAGGUGUCUUCCAAGGCCUUGUCCACUCAAGGACAUGUUGCAUGCCUGAAACUGAGUAUACAGGAAAAGGAUAGAAAUGGAAUAAAAUGGAAACCCAUAAAUCACACUACCCUGCUAUGCAGUUUCAAACCACUGACUUAAUGAAAUGUUGAUCCACUUUGCCAUGGAUGCCCCACUUUUUAACUCCUUCUUCAGAGUCCCAGGAGGUGAGGCUCUUCUGUUUAACUGAUUUGCAGAAUUUUUGCUUCUGCUAUUACAAUGGCUUCCAUAGUUGAGUACCAAAGACACUUUACUAUGGUGCCACAGAGAUCAUUUUGCAGAUGAGGAAACAGACUGUUCUACUACCCAGGCUUUGGUUUUUUCUACUCAGUCUUGCACAAUCUCUCACUCUCAGCCCAGAACAUUGCUGCAUUUUUGUGAGCCAUCAGCAUCCAAAGUGAACACAGGGUCUAAAUAACUGAAGAUGGCAUGAGGGAACACACAAUCAGGUCUUUAAAAAAAGAAGAAAGUGAAUAGGCAAACUGAACAGGACAUCUAGGACUGAAAAGCCUCUGUGAACAACUGGACUCAAUAUGAAAUUGGCGUGAGCUCACAGAAGACCAGCUGAGUUCCAGAUGUGGUUGGGUAGCUUGGGUUAUGGGCCCGUAUAAAAAAAAUGGUCUCUUCUUGUAAAAGGAAUUCAAAAAAAGACUAAAAGUCA
rnacentral:lncRNA from 1 species